rnacentral:rRNA from 1 species
AUUGAACGCUGGCGGCAGGCUUAACACAUGCAAGUCGGGCGGGGUGAUGGUGCUUGCACUAUCACUUAGCGGCGGACGGGUGAGUAAUGCUUAGGAAUCUGCCUAUUAGUGGGGGACAACAUCUCGAAAGGGAUGCUAAUACCGCAUACGUCCUACGGGAGAAAGCAGGGGAUCACUUGUGACCUUGCGCUAAUAGAUGAGCCUAAGUCGGAUUAGCUAGUUGGUGGGGUAAAGGCCUACCAAGGCGACGAUCUGUAGCGGGUCUGAGAGGAUGAUCCGCCACACUGGGACUGAGACACGGCCCAGACUCCUACGGGAGGCAGCAGUGGGGAAUAUUGGACAAUGGGGGGAACCCUGAUCCAGCCAUGCUGCGUGUGUGAAGAAGGCCUUAUGGUUGUAAAGCACUUUAAGCGAGGAGGAGGCUCUUUUGGUUAAUACCCAAGAUGAGUGGACGUUACUCGCAGAAUAAGCACCGGCUAACUCUGUGCCAGCAGCCGCGGUAA